GAGGGAGUAAUUACUCUAUAAACUUUUUGAUCCACAUUCACACUUUUUUUAUUUUGUAUCGCACCUCCAUACAUUGUGUUUAGUAUAAAAAUCAUUAUUUUUCAUCAAUUUCUCACAUACAUGUAUAAAUGGUCUAAAUGGUGAUACUCAUCAUAUGUAUAUACUUUAGCUUAGUAUUUCUACAUUAACAAUGACAUAAAUAGGUCAUUUAGAAUCAUAUAUUAGUUUACUUUUGGACAUUUAUGCACAUGAAGAUAAUUAGAUUAAGAUUUAGGCGUUUACUUUAUGUGUUAACUUAGAUACAAAUUUAGAAUGACAUUUUAAAUUAUACUUUAUAAUGAUACGUAUGAGUAAAUUGGAUGAAGAUUCUUAGGUUACUUUAGAUUAUUUUUUAUAAUGGCCAACAUCAGUAAUUUAGAUACAGAAUUACAGUUUAUAUUAAAUAUUUU
rnacentral:lncRNA from 1 species